GCAGACACAUUCCAGCCAAUCAGCAGCAGACCCUCCCUCCCAGACUCUCCCACCUCCUGGACAGCAUCCAUUUUGAAGCUGCAUUCUUAGUGAGCUGUCCAGGAGGUGGGAGGGUCUGGGAGGGAGGGUCUGCUGCUGAUUGGCUGGAAUGUGUCAG